GAUGAAGUCAGCUAAUAAAGCUUUCGGGCCCAUACCCCGAACAUGACGGUUAAACUCCCUCCUCCCAUCA
rnacentral:tRNA from 1 species